rnacentral:lncRNA from 1 species
GAGGACUUAGAGAACGGCUCAGCCUUGAGGCUCCCAUGACUUCUCUUUCUCCACAUGCAGGGCCUCCCCGGACCUCAGGGUGCCAUUGGACCUCAUGGAGAGAAGGGCCCUCGUGGGAAACCAGGCCUCCCUGGCAUGCCGGGAUCAGAUGGACUCCCGGGCCACCCAGGGAAGGAAGGACCCCCUGGAACCAAAGGGAACCAGGGCCCCUCCGGACCUCAGGGUCCUUUAGGAUACCCAGGCCCUCGAGGCGUCAAGGGCGUGGAUGGGAUUCGGGGCCUGAAGGGCCACAAGGGUGAAAAGGGUGAGGACGGCUUUCCUGGAUUCAAAGGUGACAUAGGUGUGAAAGGAGACAGGGGCGAGGUCGGAGUCCCUGGUUCCAGGGGAGAAGAUGGCCCCGAAGGGCCGAAAGGGCGCACUGGACCUACCGGAGACCCCGGGCCCACGGGGCUCAUGGGCGAGAAGGUGAUGGCGUGAAGCAGAUGGGGAGGGUGCCUUGGUCACUGGGGCAGGUUGGACAUGGGGUGCCAACUAGAAGUUGGUGGCACCUUCAAGGAUAGCUGUGAGUUAACUGUGCCUCUCUGUGCACGGUAUCUGCUGGGUGCCAGCUACUUGAGGUGGGUGCAUGGGAAGGCAAGAAAAAUUAUUGGUAUGGUAG